AAAAAGAAAAAGAAAACUCCCUCACCCUCUCACCCCACGAACCCUAGCGCUCCAGAUCCGCCACCCACCUCACGCGCUCCCUCUCCCCCAUCCCUCCCCUCGUCUCCCACAUCGCCGCCGCCACCCCGCCGAUCCCAUCCCUCCCGAUUUAGAUCCGACCCCGCCGCCCGCGCCCGGGCGCCACCACCCGCUCCUCCUCGCCUCCCGGAGGACGUCUGUCGCUCUUCCUUCGCCCGUCCCGGAGGCCUCAGUCUGCGCCCUCCGUUGCAGGGCCGCCGCGCUCGUCCUGCCCUCGGCGCCGCACCUCCACCGCCAUCUCCGCUGGCUCCUCGCCGACGCCUCCGCCCUUCCCCGUCUAGCGCACCGCUUGGGAACGAGCACUGGAAGGACCUGGUGGUCACCGUCCGGGACGACGUGCUCAUCCCGCGGCCCAAGACGGAGGCCCUCGUGGACAUGGUAGCCACCACCGACUACGAGCGGGGGUCCUGGUCCUGUCCCUCGUCGUCCUCGGCGGCGGCAUUACGGUUUGGCUCCAUCGCCGUGCCCUGCGUCGACGUCUCGAUCAGCUUCACGGAUCGCCGUCUUCACGAGGUUGGUCGAAGAGGGCUGGAGUUCAUGCCGUUCCUGAUGUCCCUGUCCGUGUUCCUCUUUGGCACCUCCUGGUUCAUCUACGCCCUGCUCGGCCUCGACCCCUUCAUCUUCGACCUGAUCCUAGAUCAUCAUAUAUUGAAAUCUGGGACUUGUUUGAGAGUUCAGACUCCCUAUUUCGGGGCAGCAACAAGGAAAUUUAAGGCCUGUUUGUAGUGAUUCACAAGGAUUUCCUGGUGCGUGCUUUGCUCCCCUUCGAACCAAAUCGAACCCAACAGAGAAAACACACCCGCACGCAUCCUUUUGGUCGCUGUCCCUGAUGCCAAAUUGUUGAAAAUAUUGGAGCUAAAUUGGUCAGGUUGAAAAUACUCAGGUUGGUGCAACUCCGGCCUUGUCACCCACACAUCGUGCCCGCAGCGGCCUCAGCGCUGCCGACACCACCACCAGCUUCGGCGCUUCGCGUUUGAGUUUUGCAACGCCGGCGGACGUCCGAGCUGCUUACUGAAUGCCAGAUGGUGGAAAUGAUUGUGCUGAUAUACGCCCGCGACAGCCCCAAACGCUAGAGCAGUUCAACUCCUUGCGGGUCCCCAAUCUCAGGUUUGGACCUUUCUUGGUGGAUGUGUCUCCUUACUUCAUCUCUUUUACUUUCAACUUUGUCGCAACCAUAGAGGAUUCUUAAUUUGAUUCUUCUGGUAUGUAUGUGGUUGCAGCACCCUGUUUGAAAUAUAAUAUAUCAUGUUCUCUGCACCGUCGCUGAUUUUCAAUAGUAACAAUUUCGUACUCCUCCAGCACCAUAUUUCAUUAGGAUAAUGUUAUUGCUUCUUGAGGUUUAUUUAUAGACAUGGGAUGUUCUCAAAGUUUAAUCUUAAUAUAGGUUCAUACGGACUCGGUCGGACAAAGCAAUUUCAUUUGAGCAGAAAUGAUACUAAAUCACCUGUCAGUUAAUCCUUUCAUGUAGGAGAACCAUUAUACUAAUCAGAAGAUGCAUGCGUUCUGGCAUCCACUAAGGGUGACCCCUUUUUUAGUUUUGUCACAUAAUGUUAGUUACUCACCUUAGAGAACCCCCUUUUUUAUCUUCUAUAAGGUUGCCUGCUACUGCUAGCGUAUGCAAGUAAAAGCAGCUAUUUGCACCAUCAUUCAUUGCUUCAAACUUCUGUUGAUCAAUUCACACCCAAAAAAACGCUUACUUGACUGGCUACUAUCAAAUCAAAAUUUUAUAAAACGGACAAUCUAGCACUCAUAUGUCAUAUGACAAUUGCAAAUCUCUCACAGUCUAUCGAAGGGAAAAAGGUGUACAUGUUUUUUAGCUUUUACCUUUAUAAAUGUAUAAGUAUCAUGUACUUAUCUACUUGCUUCCUCAACGCCCCCCUUUAUUAUCCUCUCUAACCUAUUACUAUAUAGUGCAGUGUCAAAUAAUAUAGUUCACACUAUUAGAUAAUUAAGAAAAUAUCUGAGUGACCAAAGCAUUGUUCACCCAGUAGGUUGCAAUACACUCUAUGCAUACUUACGCUUUUGUAACAUUGUUGUUCUCGAAUUCUCAAUACCAGUUUGGCAUUUCAUUCUUUCAUUUAUAAGAAAAUCCUUAACGUCAACUAAGUGUCCCGCAACAACGCACGGGGUAUCAUCUAGUUCAUUCAGUUUGACUGUGCGUAAACACUAUAGUGUACAACUAUCAACUUGUUUCACUAUUCAGUUUGUCAUCCAUUCAGCUUACUUACUGGGGCAUAUUUCUUGUGAGAGUUUACUUGAUAGUACAAUAUGUCAGAAGAAACUACCAUUUCUCCGGAAUGAAUCAUUGAUUGCUCUUUAUACACUUACAACUCGGUUUCUUUCAUAUAAGUUCUGAUGCCUUUCUUUAGGUCGAGCUACUGCCCUGUUAAUUAUUGUAACAAACUUUAUCAUUUGCCAGUUUGCACUGUGUUGAGAACUGACCAAUAAGUUUUGUUUGCCAAUUAGCUUUCUGUGUGCAUGCUCUUAAUCCCCAUAUUACUAAUUUCUGAAUCAAACAUUAUUAUUUCUGUCCUCAACAAGUCGCAGCGCUAUGUUCUGUUUUUUGUUUAGUUAGCUCUGUCAAAUAUAAUCAACCUGCCUAUGUUCCAUUUUGCUAUUUGUACUUAGGUAGAAAAAGCUAAAAUCUGUACAUGUAAUGCUGAAGCUAUAUUGGUUGCUUGUUUCUUAAUUUUUUCUUCUAUAAUGAUGAUCUGAAAUGCCACGCAGGUCAUUAUUGGUGGUGCUACUGCUGUUGUUGUGGUUGUUGGAGGUGUUGCUGUUGCAUCUGGCGGAGCUGCCGUUGGGGCCCCAAAAGGUAACCUUCAUCAGCCACAACCCCACAACAAUGGCUCAAGGUUCUGUGCCCUAUCACCCCUCUUUCUAAAUUACUGAAAUGAACCAAGAUCUCAUAUAUUUAGGAACGGAGGUAGUAGUAAGGUUAAAAUAGAAAAGCAAGGGAUGUUUCUAAUUUGGUUAUGCUAGAAUAAUGCAUCAACUCGUGGCAUUCUUGGAUGUUACUCUAAGGUGUCAAAAUGAUAGUAAAACCUAGGCUCUUGCAUGGUUCUUGAAUUAAUUUUUCUAUUUUAUGGCUAACAAAUAUUGCCUAUGUUGAGACUCUAAACAUGUGGAUUUUCCUCUCAUUUAUAGGAAUUCUACCUGAAGAAAUUCGGAGAAAACUUGAAGCCCCAGUUAGCGACUUGCUUUAUAUGUUAUUGACUUGUCAUGCUAAAUUUGUUGAGAAUUUUGAUAUACUAUUGCACAUGUUACUCGAAUGCUGGUAGUUAUGUACAUAUACUCACAAUAUUAUCCGUUGUUUACUUGAAAUGCAUUCUUGGGCUGAAAGUGGCUGAAAAAGUAUAUGCUGUGUUGAUUCUGCGUUGA